UGUAAUGGUCGUGAAUUGAGGAAUAUAUUGACCGAGUGCUGAGUUGUUGGAUUCAUGUAAUGGUCUUACGACGAGCACUUAGUUUUCUUUUCAUCAUCUUGUUCAGACUAAAUAGUAGUUCCACUAUGGAAUUCACCCAUGCAUGUAAACCAGUUGGCGUGAUAUCUUUACUUCUUUUUACAGUACCACUAAGCGGAAAAUAGGUGGGCCAGGUGGCUUAAAAAAAUUGUGCUAUUUCAUCUCAACUUCAGGCUGUUGUUGGGAAGACUGCUACUAUGUAGAUAACUUAGGUUGUGAAGCAGUUAUGGGCAUAUACCAGGCAGAAUAACCUUGAUCCCGAUUAUAAAAGGAAUAUCAUUUGCAAUGAUGAACUUCAUGUCGUCUUUGGAACUGACGCUGCAGGCAUGUUUAAGAUGAACAAGUUAUUGGCCAACCACGUAACUCUCUUGACUCAAAUAGAUCAAGAUGAGGAAGCAAGAAGAAUAUUAAGGUGGCCAAUACAUUUCUCAACAAAUUCCUCCUGUUAAUCCACCAUAUGCGGUUGUUUCUGAUGCACUAGCCAAAUUCAUUGGUGUUCAAGGAGCCUCAUGACAAUGCUCUGAAGUAUCUGUGGGAUUACAUAAAAAUUCAUUUUCAGGUAUGGAUGCGUCCUAGCUUUCUU